GCAAAUCCUGUAUUACCUUUGGUUGUGUCCUUUUUUUCUUCGUUUCUUGUUGGGUAAGUUAAUAAUAUGAUACAAAGAGAUCUAACUCAUCUAAGGGGUACUUUGGAAAUCAUUUUAUAGAUAAUUAACUAAACUUGAUUCUGGUCUGGGCAAAUCUUGUAUUACCUUUGGUUGUGUCCUUUUUUUCUUCGUUUCUUGUUGGGUAAGUUAAUAAUAUGAUACAAAGAGAUCUAACUCAUCUAAGGGGUACUUUGGAAAUCAUUUUAUAGAUAAUUAACUAAACUUGAUUCUGGUCUGG
rnacentral:misc_RNA from 1 species